rnacentral:lncRNA from 1 species
UGUAACCUUGUAAACUCUCAUGUAUUUGAAUUGAUUCUUAAUUUCAUAUGCUUUUUCAUUAAUUGUUAGAGUAAUUCAUCUGUUCUUAUUGCUUGCUUAUACAAUAGCAUGAUUUGUGAGUUGCAUGAGUGCCGAUAGGUUCCUUUCAAUUCAGGUCCUUGUUGAAUUACUCCUAAGGGUUAUAUUGCUCAGGGAUGAGGGUAUGAGUCUUAGUCGUCUUAACCUCUUGAUCUUCACAUCUUUUUACCAGGAAUGCUAGGAAUUGUAUGAAAUGGUAGUUAGGGACAGGCUUAUUUAUCGAGGGGUCGGGUUUAAGUUUUUUAGUGAGGGACGUUGGCAUUAAUGAAUAAAGAAGAAUUCUUAUAUACAUGAGAGGGAACAUGGUGAAGUCUAACCCCAACAACAUAUCCAUCUCAUAUCAACCAACUUCCAUUCAUCUCUGUGCUCUUUUGCCACUGAUCAAUUUUAUUUUGCUUUAUUUUAUUAUUUUUGCAAUACCACCCAUGAUCUCUUUUAUUAUAAGUCUUAAUUAAUCUUGUUUUCACACAACUGUUUAGCAUCGAGAGUCCUCUGGGAUACGAUAUUUGGUCUUACCAUUUUAUAUUACU